GACGAACGCGGCGGCGUGCUUAACACAUGCAAGUCGAACGAAGAGCGAUGGAAGCUUGCUUCUAUCAAUCUUAGUGGCGAACGGGUGAGUAACGCGUAAUCAACCUGCCCUUCAGAGGGGGACAACAGUUGGAAACGACUGCUAAUACCGCAUACGAUCCAAUCUCGGCAUCGAGACUGGAUGAAAGGUGGCCUCUAUUUAUAAGCUAUCACUGAAGGAGGGGAUUGCGUCUGAUUAGCUAGUUGGAGGGGUAACGGCCCACCAAGGCGAUGAUCAGUAGCCGGUCUGAGAGGAUGAACGGCCACAUUGGGACUGAGACACGGCCCAGACUCCUACGGGAGGCAGCAGUGGGGAAUCUUCCGCAAUGGACGAAAGUCUGACGGAGCAACGCCGCGUGAGUGAUGACGGCCUUCGGGUUGUAAAGCUCUGUUAAUCGGGACGAA
rnacentral:rRNA from 1 species